CAGUAGCCACGGGAAUACGGAGGGUGCAAGCGUUAAUCGGAAUUACUGGGCGUAAAGCGUGCGUAGGCGGUUCGUUAAGUCUGUUGUGAAAGCCCCGGGCUCAACCUGGGAAUGGCAAUGGAUACCGGCGAGCUAGAGUGUGUCAGAGGAUGGUGGAAUUCCCGGUGUAGCGGUGAAAUGCGUAGAGAUCGGGAGGAACAUCAGUGGCGAAGGCGGCCAUCUGGGACAACACUGACGCUGAGGCACGAAAGCGUGGGGAGCAAACAGGAUUAGAUACCCCAGUAGUCCCUGUCUCUUAUAC
rnacentral:rRNA from 1 species